UACAGAGGUCUCAAGCGUUGUUCGGAUUCAUUGGGCGUAAAGGGUGCGUAGGUGGCGCCGUAAGUCAGGUGUGAAAUUUCGGAGCUUAACUCCGAAACUGCAUUUGAUACUGCGGUGCUUGAGGACUGGAGAGGAGACUGGAAUUUACGGUGUAGCAGUGAAAUGCGUAGAGAUCGUAAGGAAGACCAGUGGCGAAGGCGGGUCUCUGGACAGU
rnacentral:rRNA from 1 species